rfam:Candidatus Brocadia fulgida BROFTL_contig000292, whole genome shotgun sequence.
AAAGUAGACAAGGCGGUCGUCGGCUCUUUUUUUUAAGUAAAAAGGGCGGGAGGAAAGUCCGAGCUCCACAGGACACAGUGCUCCGUAACGCGGAGUCCCGGCAACGGGAAGGAAAGUGCAACAGAAAAUAUACCGUUCCAUUUUUUAGUGGAAUAAGGGUGAAAUGGCGGGGUCGUUUCCCCGGUAAAAAGUCCGGGUCUGAACUGACUUAAUGUAAGAGCCCACCGCUCCGGUGGUGACAUCGGAGGCAUGGCAAACCCCACUGGGAGAAAGGUUAAAUAGAGAGGGAUGAAGUGGUCCGCUUCGGUAGCACCUCUGGGUAAACCGUUUGAUCUCGCUGGCAACGACGAGACUAGAUAAAUGACCGCCCACGACAGAACUCGGCUUAUUGUCUACUUAAAAA